rnacentral:rRNA from 1 species
GAUGAACGCUGGCGGCGUGCCUAAUACAUGCAAGUCGAGCGAACAGACGAGGAGCUUGCUCCUCUGACGUUAGCGGCGGACGGGUGAGUAACACGUGGAUCCCCUACCUAUAAUACUGGGAUAACUUCGGGAAACCGGAGCUAAUACCGGAUAAUCUAUUGAACCGCAUGGUUCAAUAGUGAAAGACGGUUUUGCUGUCACUUAUAGAUGGAUCCCCGCCGCAUUAGCUAGUUGGUAAGGUAACGGCUUAUCAAGGCAACGAUGCGUAGCCGACCUGAGAGGGUGAUCGGCCACACUAGAACUGAGACACGGUCCAGACUCCUACGGGAGGCAGCAGUAGGGAAUCUUCCGCAAUGGGCGAAAGCUUGACGGAGCAACGCCGCGUGAGUGAUGAAGGUCUUCGGAUCGUAAAACUCUGUUAUUAGGGAAGAACAAAUGUGUAAGUAACUAUGCACGUCUUGACGGUACCUAAUCAGAAAGCCACGGCUAACUACGUG